AAUAAGAGGUGGGAGGCAGCCUCACAAGUUAGCAAUGCAGGGAAUGUUACAAGGAGUUAGCUUCAGUAUGAAAAAAACAUUUGUUUAGAGGCAUGGGAUAGAAUCACUGAAAUGCUGAGACAACUGUUCCUUCUCCUCCCUUGAGCUAAGACCCUGAAAGCUGAACCAGUACCAUCUCCUUGGAGCACCUUCUGAGGGUCCCUCUAGCCUACAAAGUGUAGUCAAGUGGAAUUUGUGCGCUUUCCUGAUUCAGGCCCAAUCCAGUCUUCCUAUGCCAGCCACAGAGCAGUCCCAUACUCCCUUCUGCUCAAUCCUACCCUGCCUCUUCUGCCUAGCAGCUGUGUCUCAUAAGAUGUUAAUACUGCAGAUGUCCUGAGAAGUAUGUGUCUUCCAUGGUCAAAAGCGUACAGGUAGCAGACCAGCAAGUUAACUACAUAAUCACAUCUCUCAGUAGAACGUGACUACCAUUCCUGCAAGAACCUUAAACAAACACUUAUCACCAUCAAGAUGCCUAUUCUGGCAGAAGCCCAUUCCUCCAUCUGCAUGGAUGAUCAGAACAGAAAACAAUCCGGGAAUAUGUUGCUGUUUAGAAUUGGUUGUUGUGAGGACAAACCGAAGUGAUUCAUAAAGCACUGUACAAAUUCAGAGUAUCACAGUGAUGACUGAACACUCUGGAUUCAGGAAAUCCUUCAGCUGGAAGUCUUGCUAGGACAGAGGUAUGUGCUGUAUUGCUCCCUGAGAGGAAACCUGAUGUAAAACAAACUCAGCCUCAAGGCUGAUGUGCCUCUGAAUCUCCCCUCAGAGCAGCUAACGGCUCUAGAACUAAUAAGGUCCCAGUGGACUUUUUCUUUAAAGAAGCUUUUAAUGUUACCAGGAACUGACAGCAACGCUGUCCACAUCAAUCCCACUCAGACCCCAGCCUCUGGAAGACAUGACCUUAGAAACUCUGCAGAACUUUUCUGUCACGUUCCACCUAUGUCAACAUUCAUGCCACCCACUGUCCCAUGUCGAGUUCUAAGAAGUUAAGAUCUGUACCUGUUAAAAUGGACUUCUAGAUUUCCAAAAAAGAGUUUCAUGGGACUGUGGGCAUUUCACAUAGUUAGGCUAUCCACGGGCCUGGCCUUUCCAGAAAUGGUCAACUUCAUGUAAUCUUCUUAUCCAUAAAGGCAAAGAUUAAUUAAAUGUGUAACUAAAUAUAAUUAAUUUUUAUAACUCUCUUACAUAUUUAUUUAAAUAAACCCAUAAAUCAGAAAUGACGUUUUUUUUCCUCAGACUGAUCUUCUUGAGACUUGAUUUUUUUACUUGGAAAAUAUAGUUACUGUAAAUACUAUAAACUCUGGUUAACCAGCAUGUUCAGAGAAUAUAAAGCUGUAGUAACCUUUAAAUGCAAAGGAAGAGGAGGAGGAGGAGGAGGAGGAGGAAGAAAAGGAAGAGGAGGAGGAAGAGUGAUAAUUAAUAUCAAAUACAUUAAUACAAGCAGGUUUUAUUAACUGUACUUUUAACAGAUGAUGAAACACAUUCAGAGAGACCCAACAGCAAGUAAAUUACAAUGCCAGAAUUAGAACCCAAAUUUGGCUCACUCAGAGGCGCUCAAUCUCUGCUUCAUUCAGGUCUCUGCUCAAACAUUACCUCCUUACAGAGGCCUUCCUUGACCACACGAUUGAAAAUGUCCCAGCUGUCAGCCUGGCUCCCUCCUUCCCUGCCAUCAACUUGCUGUCUUUUUCAGUCCCCUUACCUGGCUUUAGUUUCCUUCAUAGUACUUAGCUGUAUGUUUGUUUAAAAACAUGUCUCCUGUUUGAUAGAAUGCAAGUUAAGCAGGGAUUUUAAAUUAUUCACUGCUUUAUCUCUAAUGCCUAGAAUAGUGUCUGAGACAUAAUUGGUACUAAAUGAACAAACGAAUAAAAGACCCUAAAAUGCAUGCAUUUUUCAUUACGUCUCACUGAAAGGGAACAGUAAGAAAGCGGAUACAUAUAUACACUGCAUUAUGUCAUAAUUCUUUCAUGAUCUGGGUGGUAUGAUUAUAGAAUAAAGGUUCAAAUUGAUUGUGGAGAUCACUCAUUAAUAUUUCUACUAAGGGAAAAGAGUAGCUGUCUCCUAGAAACUGAAGGAACCCUUUACAACUGUAGCAGUGUGCUCUUUUUCACACUCACAAUCUCUCCUUCCUAUCAACUCUGACAUAAGAAUACACAGGACUCUUUUCACGACAAGUCCAAGAAUUUGGUUAGAUUAUUUUUGCCAUAUAAAGGACCAUUUAAUACCAAAACAAACCUCCCACAUCAAACAGUUAAUUCCACAACCACGAAACCUCUUCUGACUCACCAAGAAAAGCCACAUCAACACAGGCACAAGGGAUUCAUUUAUUACACCAAAAGAGUCUCUUCAGUACUUCUUAAGUAACUAUAAUUUUUGGUCAUUUAAAUAAUUUUGCAUUUAAUGUAGGCUCUACUUCCAGAUUUUUCUGAAACUGAUGGAAGACAUACCUAAUAAAAAUGCAUUUCAAGAAAAAGAAACAGAUUAUGAACAUCUCGUUUCAUCUGGGUUUAUGUGAGACUUAACAUUCACUAUUCUUACUAGACAUUCUCCCUGGGAAGGUAAAACUUUUUUAAAAAGUAAUGCCUCCAAGGUACAUCGUGAAGGCAGACAUCUGCUUUAUUCAGGCAAAGUAAGUGCCCAGUAAGUGUUGGCUCACCAGAUCAUGUAUGUCUUUCACAUAGCAAAUAUUCCGAGUUCUAAGUCACAAAUCGAAUACUCAACAAUUCCGCCUAGAAUAGAGGAGUAACCAUGUCUGUGGGAGGGGGAAGGGUUGGGAAGAGAUCUGUUCUUCUUCCUGAUACCCAUGAGCAGAAUACUGUCACACAGACCUAUUUUGUGUUUUUAUAAUUACCCAAAUUCUCUUCUUUUGUCAGAAUUCAUUCUCAGUAACAGCUUGAGCAAUGUAGCAAUCGUGCUCUGAAAUGACUUGUAAACCACAGACACAAAUAUUUGGGCCAAGAAUGUGGAAUCCAUUGCUGUCACAUUCCAUUAUUUCUGGUGGAGCAAUUCACUAACAUUUUGGAAUCUAGAUCAUAAAUUAUGCAGAGCCUCAGCAAAAGAGCUGAGGAAACAAACUGCUGUAAUAAAACUCCUGUUACUGGAGCCAUAAAAACAGAACAAAGGAAAGGCAAAGAAGAAAAAUAGUGGUUGGACUUUUCUGACAUGCCUUGUCCACCAUUGUUACUGGUUUCAAAAAUGAUAAUGUAACAAUCGGAAAACCAUCAGGCAAGCCAAAAAUGAUACAAUAGGCAUACUGUCAUUCAUAAACAUCACCACCACCAUGAGAGUCCCCAGAAUAAAAUUAGCUUUUUGAAGAAUGCCUGAAUGUUGACAUAAAUUAAAGUGCCUAAAUGUACAUACAACCAAGCCAUCUGUACAUUUUUCAUGACUCUCCAGGGGUGUGAAAUGUCCUUCAACAACAGCACUUGGAUAGUGGUCGCAUUUUCUGUUGGGACAUAUCAUAAAUGUCAGAGGGAGAAAGAGAUCUGUGUCACAUGUGAACUGAAGCAGGUCCCUUUCCCUCUCUGUGGAAACUGACUUAAUGGCAGAGCUGGGACUAAAACCCACAUCUCUUGACUCCCAAGAUAAGAAUGACUUUUAUUUUGCAGUAUGAUGCCUAGAGCAUGGUAGGGGCUCAAAAAUUACUUUGUGAACGGAAGAAUGACAGAAUGAAUGGAUAG
rnacentral:lncRNA from 10 species